CCUUGCUUCUCCUUUGCAUUCUGCCACAAUUAUUUUGGCCAUUACAAACAGUGCUGUUGUGAACAUUGUGCCUGCCUGUCUUCUGGCUGGACAUAGCCUGUGUGUCAGACACUGUUCUGUUUCAUGGAUUAUCUCAUUCAGUCUUCAUAGCAGCCACAUCAGGGAAAUUUGGAGACAGACAUGCAGGGAGAGCGCCAUGUGGAGAUGAAGGCAGAGAUCAGGUGGUGCAGCAGAAGUCAAGGAACACCAAAGGCUGCCAACAAGCCUCCCGGAG